rnacentral:ncRNA from 1 species
UGCGGUCACAAAACGCAACGCUUUUUGAACGUUGGCUCUGCCAACGGUAUCGUAAGGGAUGAACAAGCGAGCUUGUGAAGAAAA